rnacentral:rRNA from 1 species
UACGUAGGGUGCGAGCGUUAAUCGGAAUUACUGGGCGUAAAGCGUGCGCAGGCGGUUAUUUAAGCCAGACGUGAAAGCCCCGGGCUUAACCUGGGAAUGGCGUUUGGGACUGGAUAGCUGGAGUGCGGCAGAGGGGGGUGGAAUUCCAGGUGUAGCAGUGAAAUGCGUAGAGAUCUGGAGGAACACCGAUGGCGAAGGCAGCCCCCUGGGCCAGCACUGACGCUCAGGCACGAAAGCGUGGGGAGCAAACAGG